rnacentral:rRNA from 1 species
CCUACGGGAGACUGCAGUGAGGAAUAUUGGUCAAUGGGCGGGAGCCUGAACCAGCCAAGUCGCGUGAGGGAAGACGGUCCUAUGGAUUGUAAACCUCUUUAGGCGGGGAGCAAUGCCGGGCACGCGUGCCCGGAGGGAGAGUACCCGCAGAAUAAGCAUCGGCUAACUCCGUGCCAGCAGCCGCGGUAAUACGGAGGAUGCGAGCGUUAUCCGUAUGUAUUGGGUUUAAAGGGUGCGUAGGCGGAUUUUUAAGUCAGCGGUAAAAUGUCCGGGCUCAACCCGGGCCGGCCGUUGAAACUGGGGAUCUUGAGUGGGCGAGAGGUAUGCGGAAUGCGUGGUGUAGCGGUGAAAUGCAUAGAUAUCACGCAGAACUCCGAUUGCGAAGGCAGCAUACCGGCGCCCGACUGACGCUGAGGCACGAAAGCGUGGGGAUCGAACAGGAUUAGAUACCCCAGUAGUC